AUUAUUCAACCUAGAAAUCGUAACAAAAGCAGCACAGUUACUAUCAUUGAUCCUAUGUGAUCAAUGGGGCCACUUUAAACAGAAAAAAAAUUACUUUCUUUAUGAACACUACAGUUAGUGUACUCACAUAAAUAUAUACAGUCAUUGCUUUUGGAAUCAAAUGAUUAUCGGCCUGAAAGAGGAAUACCAAAAAAAGUGAAGACAUGUCCUCCUACCUGAGCUCUUCAUACGUGAAAAAGUAUCGAAGCAGAUCUUUGACAGUAUUUGGAUGAAAGAAGAGACGGACAGAAGUCGUGGGAGAAUGAAAACUAAAGGUGUUGUGCUUUUUGCUUGUGUCAUCUUCAUGGUUUUCCUUAUAGUUGAAAUCGGGUGUGCUCCAAAGGGUAAAACCAUAGUGAGAAACUGGGGCCCACAAUCAAUUCUAUAUCUUAAAGGACGCUAUGGCAGGAGAUACACCUCUGAAAAGGAUGAACAGUAUUACAAGCUUAACCUGGAGGACUUCAGUGCAUUUUUUAAAAGUAAUUUCUGAAGAAAAGCAUGUAUAACUUGCAGGUGUAUUACCUAUAGCUAUGUCUCUGUUGAUUUCAAUCAUACCAAAAGCAAAACCCUUGAGGAGCCAGAUAUUUCUAACUCCAUGGAAUUUACAUUGCAGAGGUUCUGUUUCCUGGUUUGGUACACUGACUUAAAUUUAGGGAAAAGCAGAUGGAGGUCAGGAUUUUUCUAAGUGCUAAGAAUGAUUCUGUUCCUGCUGCCUUUUACAACUUGAGCUAAGCACACAGCACUUCCAUCUCUCCAAAACCACUGGUAUUCUAAGAAUUCAAAUACAAAAUUAAUUCAAAAACAAAACAAAAAGAAUACUGGUGGUCUUUCUGUAUAGAGUUGAGAAAAGGCCAGCAGCAUUUUAGUGCACCUUCACAGCCAAAAAGGAAAAAGACUACAGCAGGAAGACACCUGGGAAUAAGAAAAGAGAAAGAUGGAGAGUUUCACUCCAAGAUCUUCCUAGAAUGGUGAUUGUAAAAAUAAUAAUUACCAGAAAAUUAGUGGGAGAAACAAAGCUAUAGGAAGAAUGGGUUUUCCCGGCAACAGUUCAGCCAGCCAUAGAGAAUGAACACACCUUCAGUUUUAGUGAUUCAGAUCACAGUGAUACUGUUGGAAAGUUAAAGGAAAGUAGACAAGAAGUUAAAAAAAAAAAAAAAAAAAAAAAGCAAUUUCAUGCAUAGUUCAUGCAUAGGUAACCCUUUUCUCACCCUUGGGUUGUUGUGGAGAAAAAUGCCACAGUUCAGUUGGGCCUAUGAAGAAAAUUCAAGGUUAAGCUUUCAACACACUAUUACAGGACUAGCUAAGUGCAUACUUUCUAUAUGAGCAAGAAAAAUACUCCAGGCUUUUAAGACUGACAGAUAUGCAUCUGCAGCUGCUGUAGUACAGGUACAGGACUCAAAUCCAAUAUCUGAGGAUGUCAGAGAAAAGAUCUCAUCUUCAGUGCAGCUAGAAUGGUUUAUGAAAUUGAAUCAUAGGUACCAAACUUUGCUUCCUACAGAAUGUCCAGCCAAUAUAUAUGACUUUGUGGUCUUUUUCUUUAGGCUGUGUUCAACACCACUGAACAUUCUGAAAAUCAGAAGAUUUAAAGCCCAAAACAUGGGCAUUAGAUGUUUGGAAUAAAACAAAGCUUUUCUUUACUUGCUACAAACAUCUCAUCCUGAGAAACAAUAAUAAAAAUUGUAACUGAAUGUUAAUACUGCAAAUGUCACAGUGUAAGUCUCUUUAAGGAUGUGCAUGUGUUAUAUCAGCUUGUUCCAAGAGAAAUCUUCAUUAUACUUACAUUUGAAAGUUAAUAAAACUAAAUGCUUAC
rnacentral:lncRNA from 1 species